GUGCUCGCUUUGGCAGCACAUAUACUAAAAUUGGAAUGAUACAGAGAUUAGCAUGGCCCCUGUGCAAGGAUGACAGGCAAAUUUGUGAAGCGUUCCAUAUUUUU
ensembl:snRNA U6 U6 spliceosomal RNA